rnacentral:rRNA from 1 species
AUACGUAGGGUGCAAGCGUUAAUCGGAAUUACUGGGCGUAAAGCGUGCGCAGGCGGUUUUGUAAGACAGAGGUGAAAUCCCCGGGCUCAACCUGGGAACUGCCUUUGUGACUGGAAGGCUAGAGUACGGAAGAGGGGGGUGGAAUUCCGCGUGUAGCAGUGGAAUGCGUAGAUAUGCGGAGGAACACCGAUGGCGAAGGCAAUCCCCUGGGCCUGUACUGACGCUCAUACACGAAAGCGUGGGGAGCAAACAGGAUUAGAUACCCUUGUAGUCCACGCCCUAAACGAUGUCAACUGGUUGUUGGGUCUUCAUUGACUCAGUAACGAAGCUAACGCGUUAAGUUGACCGCCUGGGGAGUACGGCCGCAAGGUUGAAACUCAAAGGAAUUGACGGGG